rnacentral:rRNA from 1 species
UGAACGCUGGCGGCGUGCCUAAUACAUGCAAGUCGCGCGAACAGACGCGGAGCUUGCUCCUCUGACGUUAGCGGCGGACGGGUGAGUAACACGUGGAUAACCUACCUAUAAGACUGGGAUAACUUCGGGAAACCGGAGCUAAUACCGGAUAAUAUAUUGAACCGCAUGGUUCAAUAGUGAAAGACGGUUUUGCUGUCACUUAUAGAUGGAUCCGCGCCGCAUUAGCUAGUUGGUAAGGUAACGGCUUACCAAGGCGACGAUGCGUAGCCGAUCUGAGAGGGUGAUCGGCCACACUGGAACUGAGACACGGUCCAGACUCCUACGGGAGGCAGCAGUAGGGAAUCUUCCGCAAUGGGCGAAAGCCUGACGGAGCAACGCCGCGUGAGUGAUGAAGGUCUUCGGAUCGUAAAACUCUGUUAUUAGGGAAGAACAAAUGUGUAAGUAACUAUGCACGUCUUGACGGUACCUAAUCAGAAAGCCACGGCUAACUACGUG